AAACUUGUGCAUUUUUGAAUUUUUGCCUUGAAACAUGAGAUGAGUUACUAUUUGUUAUUUUUGUUUACCUGGUAGUCAUUAUAUCUGGGGUUCUUAGAGGGCUUCCGUUGCAGUGCUUUUUAGAUCCCAAAAUUGAAGUGUGAAGAAACAAGAGCUGCAAGAUUAGAGCAGAGAUAAGUGAUAAACUUUGUGAAUACCCAAAAAGGAAA